rnacentral:lncRNA from 1 species
GGUGUGUGAGCUGGAAGUGAGAGCCAGAGUGGUGGCACCUCACAAUGAAAUGAUACCACAUUGCACACACUGAUAAUGGGUGUCAGAAGAGACAUGGCCAGAGGCAGGGGUGUGAUGAAUGAUUGAGUGCAGCCAUGUGCUUUCCUGAAAAAAGGGACAGGAUUUAGUCACCAUGCCGAGCAAACAGAGGAGGCUAUCAUAUAAAAACUAGGAGGCAAUGGUGAAGCCCCACCUUCUCACCAGGUCAUUCAAUGCCUUUUUCAGGAGGAUCCUGAAGGUAUAUCAUCCCUGCUUUCAAAGGAUUGCUAAGAGGCAAAGCAAGCUAGAAGAUAAGGGUCAGCUCUCCACUUGGAAAGAAGAUCCUCUCCACAGGAUGAGAUCUUCCCUUCCUACCCUACUUCCUCCAAGUUCUCAGUCCACCUCCCAUCCUGUCUUCCUCUAUAUUCCUAGCCUCAGUGUGGAGCUACCCAGCAAAUCAGCCAAACAAUUAAUGUCAUUGUGUCAGAGAUAGAUGACAUCCUCAGACAAAGAGAAGUUCCAGAUCACCUGCUUGGGAGACAUGCAAGGAACCUGGAAGUUAUCCUUGUCAUCUCCAGUUUCCAGUCCAUCACAAGUCCAGAGGUCCAGAGAGUUUUAGCUCUGCCACUUGUCUGUAAGCUUUAUCUGAAUAAUUAAUAGCAAGUGAUGAAAAUAAUCUGAUUAGUUAAUUGACUGAAGGAGUGGGUGAAGGGGAGGAGGAUUAACAGAAGGUGGAUAGAGGGAUCCUGGCCCGAGGAAUCUCCAAGACUCACCUCCAAACUACAUAGAGCAGGUGCCUCUACCUGUGCUGUUUACCUCUCCUUGUCUCUCUGAAUAAAGUGCAACCCUCUCACUCACAGAAAACAUGUUUCAAUCCACUGAAGGUUAGAACAGUCCUGAGCCUGGAACAGCCCCAACACAUUGGAGAGGCUAAAAAAAAAAAAAAAAAAAAUGCAAAAGGCUUCUGUCCUCCUGCCAGACUGAC